rnacentral:rRNA from 1 species
GAUGAACGCUGGCGGCGUGCCUAAUACAUGCAAGUCGAGCGAACGGACGAGAAGCUUGCUUUUCUGAUGUUAGCGGCGGACGGGUGAGUAACACGUGGAUAACCUACCUAUAAGACUGGGAUAACUUCGGGAAACCGGAGCUAAUACCGGAUAAUAUUUUGAACCGCAUGGUUCAAAAGUGAAAGACGGUCUUGCUGUCACUUAUAGAUGGAUCCGCGCUGCAUUAGCUAGUUGGUAAGGUAACGGCUUACCAAGGCAACGAUGCAUAGCCGACCUGAGAGGGUGAUCGGCCACACUGGAACUGAGACACGGUCCAGACUUCUACGGGAGGCAGCAGUAGGGAAUCUUCCGCAAUGGGCGAAAGCCUGACGGAGCAACGCCGCGUGAGUGAUGAAGGUCUUCGGAUCGUAAAACUCUGUUAUUAGGGAAGAACAUAUGUGUAAGUAACUGUGCACAUCUUGACGGUACCCAAUCAGAAAGCCACGGCUAACUACGUG